CCCAGAAAAAAAAUACUCCAUCCAGCCCAACCUUCCUUGCCCACUCCUCUCGAUCCCAUCGUUCGUGGCCGCCGCCGUCCGAGGGGAGUCGCCGCCGCCGCGUCUCUCGAUCCCAUCGGCCCCGUCGGAUCUCGCCGCUGGCGGACGACUCGAGAAGACCCCGCCGGAUCUCGCCCUCGUCAUCAGUUCUGGAUCGCCGCCGCCGCCGAUCCCCUCGGGAAAACAACGCCGAUCCCCUGCUCGCCCACGCACGCUGCCGCGGAUGAAGGCCGCCUGCUCGCGAUCCCCAAACCUGCUGGCGCCGCGCUCCGUAGGAUCCAAGUACGCCCCUCUCCGUGGUGUUCACUGAUUGCUUGGAGCAACAACGUGCUGUUGGAGUUGCCGAAGCAUUAGGUGAUUCGAUUGUGUGCGUUUGCUGGAUUUGUUUGACGAAGGAAAGAUGACGAUGAAGGACACACAGAGGAGUGUGAGCGGUGAUGGUACCAAGGUUACCGGCAGGUAUGCAUGCAGGAACUGACUGUACAGUGUUCCUAUAAUGCUACUGGUUUUAACGUCUGUACUGUGAUGCUACUGGCAGUUUAAAUAAAUCUGCUAUCAUUUGGGAUGUGAGUUGUCACAACUCGCUGUGCUCUGGUGUUCAGCUCAGAAUUUCUUUUGGGAAUGAUUCCUCUGAAUAGACUACUUAUGCUUGACAUUUUACUUUUGUUAUUUCUAUUUGUAACUCAAUUUCGGUAUCCUCUCAAAUUGACAAUACUUUUUCUGGAUAUGGUAGUUGAGAAUAGUUAUGGUAUAUAGCGGAGUUAGCCCAUCCUCACCAAUGACUCUUCCUCAGGGAUUUGCUGAACUAGAGUUAGUAAUGGGGGUAUUGCAGACUGUUUAGAAUUAUGGGGGUAUUGCAGACUUUAGAAACUGAAUUAAAUUUUUGUGCAAUUGAAAAAGGUGUAUACAACUUGAAUUUAUUAGGUAGUAUAGGAGAGAUAUGAAAUUUUAAAAUUGUUAGUCAGAUUUGUGUGUUGUUUUGGGUAGUAUUCAGUUUUGUUCCAUCUGAGAGGCCAAUAAUGCACAUGUGAUAUUAUCUACAUAAUUCAGUUUAUACGGCUUCCCAUAUUCCAAUGGUUGUAUUUUGCUAAAUUGCCAUCUACUUACUGGAAUUCUCACAAAUAGAAGUGCAGUCAGAAGGUAAAAAGGAUGGUAUGGUAUGUCUCCAUUCACAUGGUACUGAACUGUUAGUGAUUCUUUGUGUUAUUCUGCAGACUUGAACUUAGUUUCUAUGGUUUUCUUUUUCUGUUCAUAGACGAGAGUAUAGUCUGAAGGGAAAAAUUGGUAUGCUCUGAAGGGUGUGCAAGAACAGUGAGAUUUAUAUUACUGAAUGUAUUGUUAACAAUUUGUUAUUUUGCAGACUUGCUCUCAGUUUUUAUUCUUGGCAGGUGAUUCUUCAUGAUAAUUUUUUGUAGAGGAACAUUUUUGCGAUGGGGCUGGGAACGGUGAUCGGUGGUGCUGGUGUCGGCAGUGCGGUACAAGGUCAGGAUGCGGGAUGGGACGGCCAUCCGUGUGAGGCAGUCGGCGGCGAGGGUUUGUGGCAUCACGAGGAGCGCCCGCGGAUUCAAGGUGUUGGCCCGAGACCUCCGACGAGGGAGGAGACGAUGUUAGUAUUUCCAUAGGAAAAAAACAAGAGAAGAAGAACAAGAACAACGACGGCAAUCUCGGGUUCCAGAACUCAGAUUUAUGACAAGGACACAAGCAAAUUUAUAGCAUCCGUUGUGAUGAUACAAGGGAAGUAAGCAUAGAUGCGCUCAACGUGAUGAUAGGUGGGAGAGCUCGGCCUAUGCUGCCAACUGAUCUGCAACGGUGCAGAAGGAGAUUUCAAAAGCAGGGCAAGCGAGAGCGACUGUUCUAUUGAUGGUCAAAAGGAGGGCUUGGCAAGAGAGAUUGAGGGAGCUCUACUACCUCGAUCUUGGCAUAGAACCUGAUGGCAUCAUGCCCAGGAAACUUCCUUCUUCAGUAUGUAUGGGGAUUUAUAUGACACCAAAAGAGAAGUCCGGCGUGUUUCUUGGUUCUAUGGAACCCUCGACCGGAAGCAAAUAGAUCACAUCGCAAGUUGCUUGCCCAAUAUAAUCGUGCCGCAAGUUACCAACAUCGCGUGCUUAUACACCAUCGACUUUGCUGGAAAUCUAUCUGUCCGUGCUCCAUCGUCUGUCGGAACUUCUUCUGCCCAUGCUACACCUGAGGUACAUACUACAGUCUCAUCAAUUAAUAAUACCCAAUUGCUUGUCUGUUGCCCAAUGCACUGCAGCUUAAUAUGCAAACCCUGAGCUUUGUUUGGCAAGCAAAUGUUUGUUCUACUUGGCAAGGUGCAUGAACAAUGAUUUAGCUAUGGUUGUUGGUUAAUGGAAAGGCUUUUUCCAGUAUAAAAAAGCUACCGAUUUGAGCAACAAAGAUCAGGUCUCUGUUUUCGUUUAUCUUGGUAAGACAAAUGCUACAUCCACUAUGUGUUUAUGUAGUCAUUUGGGUGAAUGUGGGAUGCUCACGAUCAUCCCUAAUUUGCAUUGAAGUGACGUAUGGUUUAGUCAUGUUUUUAUAUCUUGUUUCUCUUUUCUGUUUUGCUUGGUUGAGUUUCUCCUUCAUGUUGUUACGAUGAGAAAUCGAUUUGUGCAUAAAGGGAAACUGCCCCCGCGUCGUCCGCGUGGGCGACACAGAAAGUGAGUCGAUCCACUUUUCUCGGGGCAUCCUCUGUGCGCCCGUCCCUUGCCGCCGCCGCCGGCCAGCUCCGGCGGGCUGGCCCUUGCAACCUGCGGCGGGGGGGGGGGGGGGGGGCUCUGUCCGUGAUGCGUUUCGGACAGCAUGAGACCUUGUGCGACCAGUAACUUGACGCAAUGGAGGUGCUGGUUGCAAUGGCGACAUGGAUCUGCAGUAAUCGCUGCCUCGUUGCGUGCGGCAGAGGAAAGGGAGCCACCGCCUCCCUGCAUCCCGUCAUGGAGAGCCAGCUCGUCAUGGACCGACGCGGCUGGUGGUCCCCCUCUCCCGCAUAGGGGCUGGAUGGGAUGUGUCGAUGAACAAGUAGCGGUUGCCGCAGCCGUCACCCGUGCCGCCGGCAAGGAGGCGUCGUGCCGUGGAUCUGGGCCUUCAUGGGCAAGGACGAUGGAGCUUGUGGCGACCCAUGGUGGUGUUGUCUAAUUCAAAUUAGCCAUCAGUUGCUCCUCGGAAGAUAGUACUUGGCCUCUCGAGCAUCCCAUUGGGAUUUAAGCGGUGCCAGUCACCUUCCUCGUCCGUCAAUGUCUAUCGUGUCGUGGUGAGCAGCUCUUGUAGCGGUUUAGUUGCUUGCUCAUGUGGGCAUGCUCACCUGCCGUCAGGUCAGUGCGUGUUUGCAACAACUGGGCUCAGUGGCAAGUGGAUGAGAUAACACAGGACGGAUUCGAUUGGGUGGUGCAUCUCGAGUACCUGGUCUUGAGCUCCAGGGUGAAAACCCUAGGUCUAGCCUCUUAUCGGUUAUGCCUGGCAAUGACGGCAUUUUUGGCGUCGUUACCUUGACGAAGGCAUUGCUCGGAAUUUGGUCGGACUUGAUCUUCAGGGUGAAAACCUACUAUCUGACUUGGAGGCGUCGCUUUUGAAGAACCGUUUUCGUGGUCCUUGUGUUCUCAUGACAUAGUUGGUGCCGAUGGUUAUCGUUGUACAUCGUCAAUCGCUGUUUGUAUCGCUUCAUGACUUCUUUUUUCUUUCUUUUACUUUUCACUUAGGCAUAAAUUCGGUCUUGUAUGACUUAGCUUUUUGCCAACGUGAUCCUUUGGUGUGUGUUGGCUGUGUGCAUCCAAGUUAUGCAGAGGCCGGGUGUGGCUCAUUGUAAUUGUAUCCCUUGAUGCUAUAUUAUGAGUCAAUAAAACACCCUUUAUCGUAAAAAUAUAUAUGCAUAUUUUUUAGUAGAUUGUUCACCUUUUAGUCAACUUCCUUAUGGAUGUAUUUCAAGUACAACUUUCCCAUGUAGUCAACCUUAUGGAUGUGUGAUUUAUAUUCA